rnacentral:rRNA from 1 species
AUUCCUACGGGAGGCAGCAGUGGGGAAUUUUGGACAAUGGGCGCAAGCCUGAUCCAGCCAUGCCGCGUGAGUGAAGAAGGCCUUCGGGUUGUAAAGCUCUUUCGGCCGGGAAGAAAUCGCAUGGGCUAAUACCCUGUGCGGAUGACGGUACCGGCAUAAGAAGCACCGGCUAACUACGUGCCAGCAGCCGCGGUAAUAAU